AGCCUAAGUGCUCUUAUAAUAUCACCAUAGCCGAAUAUAAACAAAAGAAGAAAAAAAAAGAGAAGAAACUAGAUUCGGCCAUCUCCCAAGUUCAAAUUCAAGAUCAAGAACUAAAGAAAUCGGAUUUGGAUCGGGGAAAAACGAAAGUUGUCGACUAGCUUCCCGAUUCCAUUUUGUACCGUCCGAGAUUCUUUUUGGAAAGUCAAGUUACAAGCUCGGGGAUCAUCUGCGAAGCUCAUCACACUAUCUACUAUUUUAGAUUAUCUAAGCUAGCUCGGACUAGGGGAUCGUCGAGAAAUGUUAUCACACUAUCGAUCAUCUCAUUGGUACUUUUGAAGCAUCAUAUAUUGUAAUUUUGUUAUGUUUUGAGAUAUAGUAUAGCCAUGAGACUUGGCUUGUUUUUGUUGUAAAUGUUGGCAUGAAUUUGACUAUUUAAAUUGGCUUAAGUAUGUGUUUGAUAAGUGAUAUAUGUGAUAUAUAUAUAUAUAAUGUCUUAUAUGUUGGCUUGAUUUGAGAUGUUUGCCAUAGUUGUUGAUAUAGCUAAAUGAAUUGUUCAAUUGGUUGGUUAUUAGUUGAUGUAUAAAUACUUGGAAUUUGGCAUAUUGUGGUUUGAUUUUGAGAUGAUCAUAUGGUGUGUUUUGUAGCAUGAAUUAGAUGAUAAUGUGACGAGUAAGUGUAUUUAGAAGUUAUGUAAGAUUUCACGAUUUUGGCAUAAUGAUUUGGUAUGUUUU